rnacentral:lncRNA from 1 species
CUCUGAUCCUCACACAGCGGCAACUUCUCUCCCAUUUACUGGAUAAAGAUAAUUUAUACGAUAAGUUUAGCUGCUCUACAGUGGAAAACUCUACUCCUAAAUAUGAGGCAUGGAGUCUCCUCACAAAGAUAUUUAGAGAGGACAAGGUGGAAUUAAGAGUCUAGCGUUAGAAUGGCUCCAUGGACGGCUUUACUGGGCGAAUUUGAAGCUAAAAGGCAUUUACACUGGAGCUCCUGAUGGUAGUGCCGACAGCAAAGUCAUGUCCAAAAAUACAGACCCAACAGAUUUGGUCCUUCUCCCAACGAAAAGUUCUGUGUUUUGGAUUAACCGAGGCCCCAAUGAUGAAGUGACUUUUGAAAAAGCUGGGAUGGAUGGUUCUAUGCGCGCAACUCUGGUUAUUACCAAGAAGCAUUGCUUUGGAUGUGGUGGCCCUGCGUUUAUACUGGAUAAGCGAUUUUAAAAUGGUAAUGUCCCUUUACUUUAACUUUUUUUUUUUUUUUGACAAGGUAAUCACUGAUUUAUAGGG